AUGGCUCAGAUUGAACGCUAGCGGGAUGCCUUACACAUGCAAGUCGAACGGCAGCACGGACUUCGGUCUGGUGGCGAGUGGCGAACGGGUGAGUAAUGUAUCGGAACGUGCCUAGUAGCGGGGGAUAACUACGCGAAAGCGUAGCUAAUACCGCAUACGCCCUACGGGGGAAAGCAGGGGAUCGUAAGACCUUGCACUAUUAGAGCGGCCGAUAUCGGAUUAGCUAGUUGGUGGGGUAAUGGCUCACCAAGGCGACGAUCCGUAGCUGGUUUGAGAGGACGACCAGCCACACUGGGACUGAGACACGGCCCAGACUCCUACGGGAGGCAGCAGUGGGGAAUUUUGGACAAUGGGGGAAACCCUGAUCCAGCCAUCCCGCGUGUGCGAUGAAGGCCUUCGGGUUGUAAAGCACUUUUGGCAGGAAAGAAACGCCGCGGGUUAAUACCCUGCGGAACUGACGGUACCUGCAGAAUAAGCACCGGCUAACUACGUGCCAGCAGCCGCGGUAAUACGUAGGGUGCAAGCGUUAAUCGGAAUUACUGGGCGUAAAGCGUGCGCAGGCGGUUCGGAAAGAAAGAUGUGAAAUCCCAGAGCUUAACUUUGGAACUGCAUUUUUAACUACCGAGCUAGAGUGUGUCAGAGGGAGGUGGAAUUCCGCGUGUAGCAGUGAAAUGCGUAGAUAUGCGGAGGAACACCGAUGGCGAAGGCAGCCUCCUGGGAUAA
rnacentral:rRNA from 1 species